CUAUUCCUCAGGGGUGAAAUCAAAACAAGGAGCCGCAUGAAACUGAGACUUGGAUUUCACUCCUGCACGAUUCGAUUGUGUGAUACUACUCAGUCCUACUUUAAUAUUCAUAAUUGAGUUGGUCUCUCUCAUUAGAAAAAAAAACCCUGCAUCUUAUGACAGACCAAGUUAAUUUUUCAGAGCAUGUGAGCAGCUCACGUAUCAUUCGAGUAUUAAAAGAAGUGCGCCUGGUGCUGUGGCUCUCCUUCCCUCUGAACGUGUGACAUCGGCUGGCUGAGAGCAUGAGAGCGGAGCCGCUUGAAUGGCAGAAUCCUCAU